CACCAGGUGAGGUUCCAGCAGGUAGCACAGGUACAGCACCAGGUGAGGCUGCAGCAGGUAGCACAGGUACAACACCAGGUGAGGCUGCAGCAGGUAGCACAGGUACAACACCAGGUGAGGCUGCAGCAGAUAGCACAGGUACAGCACCAGGUGAGGCUGCAGCAGGUAGCACAGGUACAGCACCAGGUGAGGCUGCAGCAGAUAGCACAGGUACAACACCAGGUGAGGCUGCAGCAGGUAGCACAGGUACAGCACC